CUCCCUCCGCGCGCGGCCAGCCGGAGCCAGGGGGGCAGCGCCUGUGCUACGCCACCCCCUCCCCGCCUGGAGGCCCUCAGCGGGGUAUUGACCUCCCAGCCCAGCCCCCCAGUACCUUGCGGGGCAUCCCUACACCCAACUAGCUGGGGCCCCUGAGGGGGACCCUCCAUAUCCCCUUCCCAGCCCGGGGUCCUCAGGAGAGCAGUCACCUACGCAGGGCCCAGCUUGGGGCACACCCCACAUCCACCUACCCCGUGUCCAGCCCGGGGCCCCGAGGGAGGCCUCCCUGUCCGGGGUACCCCUCACACCCACCAGGCUGCCCUCAACUAUUGCCUCCCCCACCAGACUCUUGUACGAGAGCGAUAUCGCACAUCCCUUUCCCAGCCCCGCGGGAGAUGCCCCCUCCACAUCUUCCAUACGGAUCUAGUGAUCCCCGAUCCCCUUCUAGGUAUUAUCGCUCCCCCCCCUCUGCGGCACUACACUGCGCCUUCCACAGACAUCCCUCCCCUUCCCUUCCCCGCAGUCCCUCUUAACUGGCAGAGACAGGGGAAAGCUGGCUCAGAGACGAGCAUAUUGUAGCGGACUCCAUCAGAGCCUUCCCUUUAGCAAUGAUUUGCCGGUGAAUCCAUUCCAAGACUCAGCACGGGGCUUUGCAAACAAGAAGUGGGCUGUAGCCCGCGAAAGCUUAUGCUCAAAUAAAUUUGUUAGUCUCUAAGGUGCCACAAGUACUCCUGGUCUUUUUACUAAAUAACCCGGAGUGCACGCUGGUGGGAGUAGCGGGACACAUAAAAUGCUCUGUCUUGGCCGCUGGAGAGCGCUUGCUGUGUCGUCCCCUUCCGCUGUCCCUGUAGUGCUGCUGGAGCCAGAGGGAUUGGAGCUCGGGGUCCCAUUGCUACCGGAAAUGUUCCGAGUAAAGCAGGUGAGGGGGCUUCAAUAGCAGAACUGGAUCCAUUCAAGACAACAGGAAUUGCUGAAAAUGAUCUUGUGAAAAGAAAAUGUAAGAGGAGACACUGCAUUUCCAAAGGAUCGUAUUUCUGAAAGGUAGAAGUCAGGGAAUGAAGUCUCCUCUCCAGACACAUGCUGUUUCAGGGAGAGGGGGGACACAGAAUUGGCUACCAGCGUUGUCUUUGGUGAAAGAUCUAGCGUUCCAACUGAUCUGGGGUAAAGCACAAGGCUAAACUAGAUGAGAAACCGCUGACCGCUUAUGAAGCAAGGGACAGAGGCACUCCAACUGACCACCAUGGGCAGUAAGAAUGAACGGAGAGGGUACACGGUUGGUGGUGCCUGAUAUACUGCACCAUGAGUGUGGCACUCCAGAGGGCGCAGCACUCCAGAGGGUGCCACAGCUGGUUCUAUGGGUACCGCCAAGGCAAAAGUCUCUUGACAGCUGUGCACUUGGGUGCGCCCAACACCUACAAUGAACUCAACAUGAGCAAGAACUCGAAGAACUGUCUGUGAUUC